ACCUGGUUGGCUCAGUUGGUAGAGCAUGCUACUCUUGAUCUCGGGAUUGUGAGUUCAAGCCCCACACUGGGCA
rnacentral:tRNA from 1 species